rnacentral:rRNA from 1 species
GAUGAACGCUGGCGGCGUGCCUAAUACAUGCAAGUCGAGCGAACAGACGGGGAGCUUGCUCCUCUGACGUUAGCGGCGGACGGGUGAGUAACACGUGGAUAACCUACCUAUAAGACUGGGAUAACUUCGGGAAACCGGAGCUAAUACCGGAUAAUAUAUUGAACCGCAUGGUUCAAUAGUGAAAGACGGUUUUGCUGUCACUUAUAGAUGGAUCCGCGCCGCAUUAGCUAGUUGGUAAGGUAACGGCUUACCAAGGCAACGAUGCGUAGCCGACCUGAGAGGGUGAUCGGCCACACUGGAACUGAGACACGGUCCAGACUCCUACGGGAGGCAGCAGUAGGGAAUCUUCCGCAAUGGGCGAAAGCUUGACGGAGCAACGCCGCGUAGUGAUGAAGGUCUUCGGAUCGUAAAACUCUGUUAUUAGGGAAGAACAAAUGUGUAAGUAACUAUGCACGUCUUGACGGUACCUAAUCAGAAAGCCACGGCUAACUACGUG